GUCCAUGGACAGAUGACUGGAUAAAAAAGUUGUAUAUAUACACAAUGGAAUAUUACUCAGCCAUAAAAAGUGAAAUAAAGCCACUUGCUGCAACAUGGACCUAGAGAUUAUCCUACUAACUGAAGUAGGUCAGAUGGGGAAAAUCAAAUACAUGAUAUCACUUAUAUGUGGAAUAUAAAAAAUGGAGCAAAUGAACUUAUUUACAAAACAAGCAGACUCAGAAAAUAAACUUAGGUUACCUAAGGGGAUAGGGAUGGGGGAGGGAUUAAUUAGAAGUUUGGGAUUAGCAGUUAUAAACUACAUAUGUAAAAUAGAUAAACAACAAGGUAAUACUGUGUAACAGUAAUAACCUAUUGUAAUAACCUAUAUUGAAAAAAUAUAACUAUCAUUUGCUGUACACCAGAAACUAACACAACAUUGUAAAUCAACUAAACUACAAUUUUUUUAAACAGGCUGUAUAUUGUAUGUUUGUAUUUACAUGAAAUGUCCAGACGGGGCAAAUCUGUAGAGACAAAGUAGAUUAGUGGCUGAGACCUUGAGGGGUGGUGGUGGGUGGGGGCCAUGGGCAAUAAAAAGUGACCGCCUAAUGGGUAUCAGGUUUCUUUUCCGGGUGAUGAAACAUCCCGGAAUUACUGGAGAUGAUUUCACAACGUUGUAAGUCUGCUAAAACCCAUGGAAUUGUACACCAUGGAAGGGUGACUUCUAUGGUGUAGGAAUUACAUUUCAAUGAAAAGCCACCACCUCCAAGCCCUGUCUGGCAGCAGGCCGGAGUUGGCCCACUGGCUACCUCAGUCCAGGUAAGUAGGUUUGUAAGAAUAAAACAGUUUUCUUCUCCCUUCUCCACAGAGUUGUUGGCCCUCUGUAUCCUCACGUUCCACACCCACAGGUCGAAAAUACUUGAGAAAAACAAUCCGGAAAACUCUAAACGCCAGAACUUGAGUUUGUGGCAUGCUGACAGCUGUUUACAUUGUAUUGGGUACUGCAAAUAAUCCAGACGUGAUUUAAAGUGUACAAGAGGAUGUGCAUAGGUUAUGUGCAAAUAUCACAGCAUUUUAUGCAAAGGGCUUGAGCAUGUAUGGAUUUGGGUGUCUGGGGGGAUUCUGGGGCCAAUUCGCAUAUCUGGCUGGGUGACUUUCAAGUGCUGUUUAGAAGAGGGUUUUCUGACUCAGGUGUGCUGUCGAUGUCUGUCUUCAUCGCUUGAUAAUUAGAAUGUAUUUGGAAUUUUUAAAAUCCUUUGAUGGCAGCUGAGACUUCCGGACCCAGAAUAUGGUCAAAUCUUGUAAAUCCCUUUGUGUCACUGAGUAGGACGUGUUGUCAGCAGAUCUCGUGAGCAACAUCCUACAUGCGUCCGAAAGACCAGGAGGCGGAGAGAAAUGAGUUGGUAAAAACAGAUUCUAAGUCAUUCCACAUAGAGGCAAUGAGAAGAGGAACAGAAGGGUAGAAGAAAUUGAAAGCAUGAAAGGGAGGUGGCAGAUUUAGGCCCCAGUGUAUCUGUAAGCACAUUAAGUAUAAUUGGAACUAGGUACCAGUUAACAAAGAUUGUCAGAUUGGAUUUUCUAAAAAAAAAUGCCAUUAAAUAGUAAUCACAAGAAAGCUGAUGCCCCUAUAUUUGAUAUCAGAGAAAUGACUUGAAAUGAGAAGGUUGUGCUCGAUGUAAAGAAGGUAAUCUCACAAUGAUAAGAAGACUGGCUUCACCUAUGAAAUACAAAGUCUACAUUUUAUGCCUCUAUAACCAUGACUUCAAAAUACAUAAAGCAAAAAUUUACCAAAUAGGAAAACAGGCAAUUCUACAAUGAAAGUGGGAGUUUAACAAUUUCCUUAGUAUUAAUUUUUUUAAGCUGAAUUAAUUUAGAAACAAGUAGCGGUGUGCCUACCCCAAGUAAACUUGGUCUUUUGGACGUGUACAUAACUUGGCUUCCCUGAACUUCAAGUCGGGAGAAUCAAAACAGUGAGUGAUGCUAAGUAUAAGUUUAGGAGCAGCACCCAGGACGCAGGCUUUGCUUGCUCCAGCCUGACCCUUUCUGUGAGCCCUGGCGCUAGCUGCUCCAGGUCCUCCAUCCUGUCGGAGGGAAGAGACCAGGCUAGAGCCGGGGUGAGCUCCGUGGCCCAGAUUUGCCCUCCCCUGCAGGCCUGCACCACGGCGGUGCCGGAGCCGGAGCCGUCUCCAGUGGCCUCUUCUACGACGCGGUUCACCAGAACCCCCGCACUAACGCUGCCUCCCUUUUUGAUGAUUCCGCUUCUUAGGAUAGAUUUUCUUUCUUUCUUUCUUUCUUCUUUUUUUUUUUUUACCACCGGCUUCUCCGUUCAAUCCAUGAACUGCUUCCGCCUAGGUGACUUGGCAGUGGGUGAGUUUGAGGAGCCUUUUGGUGCCUUUGGCUGCUGUGACUUCGGUGGUCUGAGUAGAGGUUCGCGCGGAGCCCCUGAGGCCCACCUGUGGGGCUUGGAAUGCAGGCGUCCCUGGAGAAUUACCAAGGCGGCCCACCAGGGGGCGCUUUGUUCCCAAUGAGUAAACGGUUCAUGUAAAGGAGGAGGUCCUGCGUACUGUCAAGCAUGGAGAGAAGGAAGGCACCAGGUUCAUCUUCCCAGAUGAAUGAUGACAGGGCUGAGAACAUCUCUCAGACGUCCUUGUGCCCAAAGACAAGUUCCAUGCACACUUAUGCAGGGGUGCACGAGUGUGGUCCAGAGUUCAUCGCUGAGUCACAAGGACGUGGAACCUGGAUCCGUUUUCAGCUGUGUGGCAUGUGGUUACCUCCUGACCAUUCCGCCAUUACUGGAGGAUUCCUCUGCACUGCGAUGAAGUCGUCAAGCCAGGUAUGUAGUCUCCACAGGGAGGGGCUCCUCUUUCCCGUGGUGCCACCCGAGGGGAGGUGUCAGUGUCAAGAUCAUUUUGUUUCCCGAGUAGCAUCAUGAGACAGACCCUGACAUAUUUGUAGGCCUUGCCCUGCUCUUCUGUUUCAGCAUUAAAAAAAAAAAGUGUCCAGUUAGACACCUCUACCGAACAACCUCCCACUAGUACUUCCGGGCACUGGUUAUAUUUUCUAACCUACGACAACAACAGUGCUGCUUUCUGCGGAAAUGUUCCUGUCCCUGCUCCUGGUCCUCUUGGGAGUGGGUGCUGCCUUGUAAAGGCAGGGAGUAGGGAGAACUGGCACAAGUUGGGUCAAUUUUUAUGUCCUUAGCUUGGAAGCCAUUUCCAUCCAGUGGCUGGAGAGAGACCUGGGUGCUGCUCGAAACACGAAUAGAUUUCUUGCCCAGGCCUGCAAAUAGAAUGUCUUCCUUCCCUCCCAGUUUAAGGCCUGCCCUCUGCUUAGUCUUCUGGCCAGUGUCCAACAGUCAAGUAGCCGGGGCUCCUGCAGGCAUUCAUGCAUCACUGCCCUUCCCGCAGAACGGCUUGCCCCGACUCUGGGUUGAGACAGGAAGGGGAGGGCAGUAGCCUCUCAAUACUUUUCAUUUGGGGGUGAGUGUUGAACAAGACCCACAGCGAGGUUCCUAAUAGCUCCCCGGCUUCCCCACACUUGGAGCUGGAUGGUCUAUUCUCCCUACUACUCCAGAGGGUAUACACGCAGGGUGGGGAAACAGCAGGGUGGGAACUGCUGUACUUUCCCGUUGAGGCUGAGCUAUGGGGUGGGGAGCAGAGUCCAGCUCCUCAGCCUCCACUGGGAAAGUUAAGGUGCUCUUGGAAGCGGGAGGCAGCGACUCGUCAUGAAGACUUUCAGGGUCACAGAUGUCCCUCUAUGCCUCUGAAGCCAGAGUCUAGUCCACCCAAACUUCUAGUUUCUAAUUUGUGACACGUGGAGCUACUUUUCUUGGACCCUUCCUGGAGGUUGGGUGGGGGAAAUUAGCUCUACGAAGCCCAUAGCCCCACUCACUGCCAGGCGUGUAACGUUUAAAGCGCUGAGGGAGUGGCAGGAAGCACUGCUUUAGCUCGGUCAUGCGAUUGGGUCUUUCUUAGAUUUCCUCAUUUGGACAAUUCCCUGGAUUUUUCCCCAAUUUUUAAAUUGUAGUAAAAUACACUUAAAAUUUACCAUCUUAACCAUUUUUAAGUGUACAGUUCAGUAGAAUUAAAUACAUCCAUAAUGUUGCACAGCCACCACCACCAUCCAACUCCAUAACUCAUUUCAUCUUGUAAAACUGAGACACUAUACCCAUUAAACAGUAAUUCAAUAGCCCCUCAUUCCCCCUUUACCCAACCCCUGGAAGCCACCUCUCUGCUUUCUGUCUCUAUGAUUUUGACUAAUAUAAGUAUUUCAUGUGAGUGUAAUCAUACAGUAUUUGUCCUUUUGUGACUGGCUUAUUUCACUUAGUGUAAUGCUUUUAUUAACCCCAAACAAUAAAACAGCCAGUUAUUUUACCAGCAAAGUGGGUUUAUUCAGAAGCAGCAAAGAACUGAAAUUUUGGACAUGCAACUGUGGUGAGCAAACCACAUGGAAGUCUGGUAAAGCAAAGGAGAGGAGACUUGCAUAGAGGAGAACAGAAAUUUGAGGUGGUGGUGGAGGGCUGUUAUCAAAAAAAAUCCAUCGCAGGAAACUGGGAGUUCAAAGUGCAGUCACUUUUUAUUGUCUGAGUUACGACGGUCUCUCAUGGCUGAGCUGUUGCCAAGCAGCGAGAAAAUCUUUCUUCCUUUUGCUGGUGGUGUUAGGGUACUGUCACUUCCUGCCACAGAUGCAAGUUAAGGCCUCUUCCUGUUGGGAUCUGUAUUGAGAGCUCCCCCUUCUGGUCUCCGGACUCCGUUUUAAUGAAGUUUCCCUUUAUUAGUUAUCACAUCCUCAAGGUUCAUCUGUGUUGUAUUAUAUUGCAGAAUUUCCUUUCCUUUUAGGCUGAAUAAUAAUCCAUUUUAUGUAUCUACCACAUUUUAUCUGUCUGCUCAUCUGUUGAUGGACAGUUGGGUUGCUUCCAUGUUUUAGCUAUCACAUAUCUCCUUGGGACCCUCCUUUCAAUUCUUAUGUACAGAUACCCAGAUGUGGAAUUGCCACAUCAUAUAGUAAUACGACUUCUCAUUUGCUGAAGAACUGCCAUCCUGUUUUCCAGCGGCUGUACCGUCUUACAUUCCUACCAGCAGUGCACACGAUUCUAAUUGCUCCACAUUCUUGCCGUUGCUUGUUGGUCUUAAUUGUUUUGAUAGUACUGCCCUAGUGGGUAUGAGAUACUGUUUCAUUGCACUUUCACUUUGCAUUCCCCUAAUGAAUAGUGAGAUUGAACAUUUUUUCAUAUUGCUUAUUUGCCAUAUGUGUAUCUUCUGUGGGAAAAUGUCUGUAUAAGUUCUUCACCAAUUUUUGAAUUGGGUUAUUUCUGAGGGUUUUUUUUUUGAGGUUUAAGGAUUCUCUCUAUAUUCUGGAUAUUAAUCCCUUAUCAGGUAUAUGAUUUCCAGAUAAUUUCUCCCCUUAAGUGGAUUGUCUUUUUACUCUGAUGAUUCUGCUUUUGAUGCACAAAAGCUUUUGAAAUUUUAUGAAGUUCAGCUUGUCUAUUUUUCCUUGUGUUACCUGUGCCUCUGGUGUCAAAUCCAAAGAAGUCAUUGCCAUAUCUAAUGUGAAAUUUUUGCCCUAUGUUUUCUUCUACAAGUUUUAUUUACAUGUAGGGCUUUGAUCCACUUGGAGUUAAUUUUGGUAAAUGGUGUUAUGUAAGGGUCCAACUUUAUCCAUUUGCAUGUGGAUAUCCAAUUUUCCCGGCACCAUUUGUUGAAAGAACUGUCCUUUCCCCACAUUUUCCCACAUUGCCCAGAACUUGGGUGAGAGAAUUUUCUGCUUGUUCCAGGAAGCGAUCUCACACCCCCUAACCAGGAUUGUGAAGGAUCUUUGUAUAUAAGCUGUGAAAAAACUUGAGACCAAAUACAACCCAUGGGGGGAAAAAAAAACUUAAGAGACCAAAGGAGAAUUGUCUCUCAACAUGGUGCAACUUUCCCUUUAAAACAUGAGGAUAACCAAUCCUCUGAACAAAAAGUUCUGCUGAAAAUUUUUGGCACCAAGACUAAACUUGAUUGUGUAACACACUGGAGUUGUAAAGAUUGAGAGAGACAAGAAGAGACAGAAUUACCAAGAGGCUUGAUAGAAAUCAGCUCCAAGGGUGAGGGGACUUUAAAUUGGAUGAGGCAAUGAUGGGUGACAGCAAAUAAAAAGAAAGGCAAAUACAACGCUUUCAGAAUAAAUUGAAAUGUCUUUUUUUUAAAAAAAUGUGUUAUCUUGAUGGAUAAGAAGACUUUAGCCACUAGCUACACACAUAACAAAUUAUUCUGAGUAGACUGCUGAUGUAAAUUUUAAGGGUAUAAGAUGAUGAUUUUAGAAGAAAACGAAGGAGAAUAUUUCUAAGAUCUUAUAAUAAGAAAGCACGUCUUAAAUAGAACAAAAAUACUGACUAUAAAGGAGGACAUGACAAAUAUCAUAUUGAAAUCAGGAGCUUCUAGAAAAGAAAAGUAGCACAUGAUAUCACUCAUGUAGAAUCUUAAAAAAAAGGAAAAAAAAGGACACUGUGAACUCAUCUACAAAACAGAAACCAACUCUCAGGCAUAGUAAACAAUCUUAGGGUUACAGGGGAAAGGAGUUGGGAAGGGGUGAAUUUGGGAGUUUGAGAUUUACAAAUGUUAGCCACGAUGUAUAAAAAUAGAU